UACGUAGGGCGCAAGCGUUGUCCGGAAUUAUUGGGCGUAAAGAGCUCGUAGGCGGCCUGUUGCGUCCGCUGUGAAAACUCGGGGCUUAACCCCGGGCUUGCAGUGGAUACGGGCAGGCUGGAGGCAGGCAGGGGAGAACGGAAUUCCCGGUGUAGCGGUGAAAUGCGCAGAUAUCGGGAGGAACACCGGUGGCGAAGGCGGUUCUCUGGGCCUGUACUGACGCUGAGGAGCGAAAGCGUGGGGAGCGAACAGG
rnacentral:rRNA from 1 species